CCGGCGCACGGGUGAGUAACACGUAUGCAAUCCACCUGUAACAGGGGGAUAACACUGAGAAAUUGGUACUAAUACCCCAUAAUAUCAUAGAAGGCAUCUUUUAUGGUUGAAAAUUCCGAUGGUUAGAGAUGGGCAUGCGUUGUAUUAGCUAGUUGGUGGGGUAACGGCUCACCAAGGCGACGAUACAUAGGGGGACUGAGAGGUUAACCCCCCACACUGGUACUGAGACACGGACCAG
rnacentral:rRNA from 1 species